UGGGGAAUUUUGGACAAUGGGCGAAAGCCUGAUCCAGCAAUGCCGCGUGUGUGAAGAAGGCCUUCGGGUUGUAAAGCACUUUUGUCCGGAAAGAAAUCCUUGGCUCUAAUACAGUCGGGGGAUGACGGUACCGGAAGAAUAAGCACCGGCUAACUACGUGCCAGCAGCCGCGGUAAUACGUAGGGUGCAAGCGUUAAUCGGAAUUACUGGGCGUAAAGCGUGCGCAGGCGGUUUGCUAAGACCGAUGUGAAAUCCCCGGGCUCAACCUGGGAACUGCAUUGGUGACUGGCAGGCUAGAGUAUGGCAGAGGGGGGUAGAAUUCCACGUGUAGCAGUGAAAUGCGUAGAGAUGUGGAGGAAUACCGAUGGCGAAGGCAGCCCCCUGGGCCAAUACUGACGCUCAUGCACGAAAGCGUGGGGAGCAAACAGGAUUAGAUACCCUGGUAGUCCACGCCCUAAACGAUGUCAACUAGUUGUUGGGGGAUUCAUUUCCUUAGGUAACGUAGCUAACGCGUGAAGUUGACCGCCU
rnacentral:rRNA from 1 species